rnacentral:sRNA from 1 species
UUUCUGCUCGUGGACGCCGCCGAAGAAGCAUCGUUAAAGUCUCUCUUCACCCUGCCGUCAUGUCUAAGUCGGAGUCUCCUAAAGAGCCCGAACAGCUGAGGAAGCUCUUCAUUGGAGGGUUGAGCUUUGAAACAACCGAUGAGAGCCUGAGGAGCCAUUUUGAGCAAUGGGGAACGCUCACGGACUGUGUGGUAAGAUUUGGAAGGGACAAAGCAGUAAAACAGUCGAUUUCCUUGGCUUAUCUUAGUGUAGCCCUCUCUGAAUGCUUAUGAAAGUUAUUAAUAGCGUUAUAGUUAGAGCUUUGUUGACAAAGGAAUGUCCUGCUUUAAUUUUAAAAGCUACCUCUUAAAUCUAGGGUAGUGGGAAACUGGACGGCUUUUUAUAAAAGGCUGGUAUAAAGUUUCCUGUUGCCCUAUUCAAAGUUAAAAUGAUAAAAGCUUCUGCGGUUAGACUUUGUGUUACAUAAAUUAACAUUGUUUUCAGGUAAUGAGAGAUCCAAACACCAAGCGCUCCAGGGGCUUUGGGUUUGUCACAUAUGCCACUGUGGAGGAGGUGGAUGCAGCUAUGAAUGCAAGGCCACACAAGGUGGAUGGAAGAGUUGUGGAACCAAAGAGAGCUGUCUCGAGAGAAGAUUCUCAAAGACCAGGUGCCCACUUAACUGUGAAAAAGAUAUUUGUUGGUGGCAUUAAAGAAGACACUGAAGAACAUCACCUAAGAGAUUAUUUUGAACAGUAUGGAAAAAUUGAAGUGAUUGAAAUCAUGACUGACCGAGGCAGUGGCAAGAAAAGGGGCUUUGCCUUUGUAACCUUUGACGACCAUGACUCCGUCGAUAAGAUUGUCAUUCAGAAAUACCAUACUGUGAAUGGCCACAACUGUGAAGUUAGAAAAGCCCUGUCAAAGCAAGAGAUGGCUAGUGCUUC